rnacentral:rRNA from 1 species
GGGAAUUUUUGUCAAUGGGGGCAACCCUGAACAAGCAACGCCGCGUGAAGGACGAAGACCUUCGGGUUGUAAACUUCUGUCGGAGGGGACGAAAGCAGUGGUGGUUAAUACCCACUAUUGUUGACGGUACCCUACGAGGAAGCCCCGGCUAACGCCGUGCCAGCAGCCGCGGUAAUACGGAGGAUCCGAGCGUUAUCCGGAAUCAUUGGGUUUAAAGGGUCCGUAGGCGGGCCAUUAAGUCAGGGGUGAAAGUCUGCGGCUCAACCGUAGAAUUGCCCUUGAUACUGGUGGUCUUGAGUUAUGGUGAAGUAACUAGAAUAUGUGGUGUAGCGGUGAAAUGCAUAGAUAUCACAUAGAAUACCGAUUGCGAAGGCAGGUUACUAACCAUAUACUGACGCUGAUGGACGAAAGCGUGGGGAGCGAA